CUGAGAAUGCAGAAUUGAGGCAUUGAGUCGAUACUUUGGACACCAGUUCUGAGAGUUGAACUUUGGCGGCUUCAAGCCCCACUGCGCCCAAGUUCUGUCUUCCCAAAGUCUCCUGAGCUUUCUCCAGCACUGCCUGAAGGACUCGAAGAAGCUCUCAAAGCAGAAAAAUGCAGGCACAUAGCCACAUAAGAAUCAUCUUAAGCAAGUAUGGUCAAUCAUAAGCGACACACAUGUUGCAAGCUGAUUGGUUGUGGUUUCUUGACUGCACGUGACGGCAUUGGGCGAAACGAAAAGUGAGAAAUGACCACGGAAUGCUAUUCCCUUGUAGAGAAAAGUUGAUCAGCAAGCAAGAGAGAAGGGGGGGGAAAAAAAAAA